UGCAGUGUACCCGCGGCAAGACGGAAAGACCCCGUGAACCUUUACUAUAGCUUGACACUGAACACUGGUCCUUGAUGUGUAGGAUAGGUGGGAGGCUUUGAAGCGUGGACGCCAGUCUGCGUGGAGCCAACCUUGAAAUACCACCCUUUAAUGGCUGGUGUUCUAACGUAGACCCGUAAUCCGGGUUGCGGACAGUGUCUGGUGGGUAGUUUGACUGGGGCGGUCUCCUCCCAAAGAGUAACGGAGGAGCACGAAGGUUGGCUAAUCCUGGUCGGACAUCAGGAGGUUAGUGCAAUGGCAUAAGC
rnacentral:rRNA from 1 species